GACGAACGCUGGCGGCGUGCUUAACACAUGCAAGUCGAACGGAAAGGCCCCUUCGGGAGUACUCGAGUGGCGAACGGGUGAGUAACACGUGAGUAACCUGCCCUUGACUUCGGGAUAACUUCAGGAAACUGGGGCUAAUACCGGAUAGGAAUCCUUGCUGCAUGGUGGGGGUUGGAAAGCUUCGGCGGUUUUGGAUGGACUCGCGGCUUAUCAGCUUGUUGGUGGGGUAGUGGCUUACCAAGGCUUUGACGGGUAGCCGGCCUGAGAGGGCGACCGGCCACAUUGGGACUGAGAUACGGCCCAGACUCCUACGGGAGGCAGCAGUGGGGAAUAUUGCACAAUGGGCGGAAGCCUGAUGCAGCAACGCCGCGUGCGGGAUGACGGCCUUCGGGUUGUAAACCGCUUUCAGCAGGGGCGAAGCUUGUGGUGACGGUACCUGCAGAAGAAGCACCGGCUAACUACGUG
rnacentral:rRNA from 1 species